rnacentral:misc_RNA from 1 species
GAUGAAGAACGGUAGCGAAAUGCGAUAAGUAAUGUGAAUUGCAGAAUCCAGUGAAUCAUCGAAUCUUUGAACGCACAUUGCGCCCGCCAGCAUUCUGGCGGGCAUGCCUGUUCGAGCGUCAUUUCAACCCUCGACCUCCCUUUGGGGAAGUCGGCGUUGGGGACCGGCAGCACACUGCCGGCCCUGAAAUGGAGUGGCGGCCCGUCCGCGGCGACCUCUGCGUAGUAAUCCAACUCGCACCGGAACCCCGACGCGGCCACGCCGUAAAACACCCAACUUCUGAACGUUGACCUCGAAUCAGGUAGGACUACCCGCUGAACUUAAGCAUAUCAAUAAGCGGAGGA